AGAAUCAACGCUGGCGGCGUGCCUAACACAUGCAAGUCGAACGAGAAAGUGGAGCAAUCCAUGAGUAAAGUGGCGCACGGGUGAGUAACACGUGACUAACCUACCUUUUAGUGGGGGAUAACCUAGGGAAACCUGGGCUAAUACCGCAUAAUACCUACGGGUCAAAGCAGCAAUGCGCUGGAAGAGGGGGUCGCGGUCGAUUAGUUAGUUGGCAGGGUAAUGGCCUACCAAGACUGUGAUCGAUAUCCGGCCUGAGAGGGCGCACGGACACACUGGAACUGAAACACGGUCCAGACUCCUACGGGAGGCAGCAGUGGGGAAUUUUGCGCAAUGGGGGAAACCCUGACGCAGCAACGCCGCGUGGAGGAUGAAGUCCCGUUGGGACGUAAACUCCUUUCGAUCGGGACGAUAAUGACGGUACCGGAAGAAGAACGCCCGGCUAACUUCGCGCCAGCAGCCGC
rnacentral:rRNA from 1 species